rnacentral:lncRNA from 10 species
CGGGGAUAGGGGCUCAGAAAAGUUCCUGAGCCAAUGAUGUGGACCUAAGGUCUGAAGGAUGAAUAAAAGUUUACUGGGUGAAGAGGGGAGGGAAGAGUGUUCCUGGCAGAGGGACCAGCAUGUGUCCAGGAUCUCUUGGCAUACAUUUACCUCAGCCGCACUCUUCAGUGCUCUGCAUCCAGGCUACGCGGAGGCUGCAUGUUACAGGAGCCGUGCAUCCCUGAAGACUUGGAAUAAGUCAAGAUUUACAUAAUCCCAGAGACAUCCUUCCAAAGCGUGAUAGUAACUCUGUUCCAUGGCUGGAGUGGCUCCUCCAGGUGCCAGCAGCAUAAACCCACCUUUCAAUCAGUCUGCAGCUCAGAAAUACUACCUGAUUCUAGACAGGCUUUUCAACGUAAUAGGUUGAAUUAUUAUGUCUUGUACAUAAAUUAAGACUUUACAUUUU